rnacentral:rRNA from 1 species
GACGAACGCUGGCGGCGUGCUUAACACAUGCAAGUCGAACGGAAAGGCCCUGCUUUUGUGGGGUGCUCGAGUGGCGAACGGGUGAGUAACACGUGAGUAACCUGCCCUUGACUUUGGGAUAACUUCAGGAAACUGGGGCUAAUACCGGAUAGGAGCUCCUGCUGCAUGGUGGGGGUUGGAAAGUUUCGGCGGUUGGGGAUGGACUCGCGGCUUAUCAGCUUGUUGGUGGGGUAGUGGCUUACCAAGGCUUUGACGGGUAGCCGGCCUGAGAGGGUGACCGGCCACAUUGGGACUGGGAUACGGCCCAGACUCCUACGGGAGGAAGCAGUGGGGAAUAUUGCACAAUGGGCGGAAGCCUGAUGAAGCAACGCCGCGUGCGGGAUGACGGCCUUCGGGUUGUAAACCGCUUUCGCCUGUGACGAAGCGUGAGUGACGGUAAUGGGUAAAAAAGCACCGGCUAACUACGUG